GAUGAAGAACGCAGCGAAAUGCGAUAAGUAAUGUGAAUUGCAGAAUUCAGUGAAUCAUCGAAUCUUUGAACGCACAUUGCGCCCGCCAGUAUUCUGGCGGGCAUGCCUGUUCGAGCGUCAUUUCAACCAUCAAGCCCCAGGCUUGUGUUGGGGACCUGCGGCUGCCGCAGGCCCUGAAAACCAGUGGCGGGCUCGCUAGUCACACCGAGCGUAGUAGCAUACACCUCGCCCAGGGCGUGCCGCGGGUUCCCGGCCGUUAAACCCCCCCAUACCACAAGGUUGACCUCGGAUCAGGUAGGAAGACCCGCUGAACUUAAGCAUAUCAAUAAGCGGAGGA
rnacentral:misc_RNA from 1 species